GACGAACGCUGGCGGCGUGCCUAAUACAUGCAAGUCGAACGCUCUUUCUUUCACCGGAGCUUGCUCCACCGAAAGAAAAAGAGUGGCGAACGGGUGAGUAACACGUGGGUAACCUGCCCAUCAGAAGGGGAUAACACUUGGAAACAGGUGCUAAUACCGUAUAACACUAUUUUCCGCAUGGAAGAAAGUUGAAAGGCGCUUUUGCGUCACUGAUGGAUGGACCCGCGGUGCAUUAGCUAGUUGGUGAGGUAACGGCUCACCAAGGCAACGAUGCAUAGCCGACCUGAGAGGGUGAUCGGCCACACUGGGACUGAGACACGGCCCAGACUCCUACGGGAGGCAGCAGUAGGGAAUCUUCGGCAAUGGACGAAAGUCUGACCGUGCAACGCCGCGUGAGUGAAGAAGGUUUUCGGAUCGUAAAACUCUGUUGUUAGAGAAGAACAAGGAUGAGAGUAAAACGUUCAUCCCUUGACGGUAUCUAACCAGAAAGCCACGGCUAACUACGUGCCAGCCGCCGCAGUAA
rnacentral:rRNA from 1 species